rnacentral:lncRNA from 1 species
AGGUGGAUGUGAAUGGAGCAACCGCAAAAUCCUCAGCAAAAAAGAGCAAGAAAAAGAAAUCCUCUGAAAUGGAUGUGGAAGAAUUACCUGUUGAACCUUCAGCCAAAAAAAGCAAGAAAAAGAAAUCAACAGAAAUGGAUGUGGAUGAAAUACCUACAGAACCUUCAGCAAAGAAAAGCAAGAAAAAGAAAUCAGCAGAAAUGGACGUGGAUGAAGCUCCUACUGAACCUUCUGUUAAGAAAAGCAAAAAGUCAAAAUCCAAAGUUGAUUCUGUAGCUAAUGGUGAAGAGAAACAAACAGCUGUUACAAAUGGAGAUGGUACUGGGAAGAAGAAAAAGUCUAGAAAAUCAG